UGGGAGGGCUGCUACCAGACUCAUUUAAUACCGGAGUCACUGCAGAAGAAGGUGUCUGGCUUAAGGGCUGAAUAGUGUUUCCCGCCAGUUGCAAAGUAGUCCACGUCGUCUGUGUGUUUCCAGCAGAGGAAAUUCGGGAGAACUUUGAUCACUUAGACACGUGUGCACGGAACGAUGUUGGUGAGGUUCAGGCCCAAUGGGAACUGCGAUCAGUGGGCCGUUGGUGGCACCAAGCACGCUCGAUUCGCUUUCAGAGGUGGAAAGCUCGAGAAUAUUUUGAGCAGGAAUGGUAGCAGGAAGACAAAGAGGAACAGGCUGGUUGGCAGCCAAUGCAGAAACUGUGGUCUGAUGCCAUGGCUUGUUUUCAGAAGGGUAAACUCCAGAAAUAGACACAGGAGUCACAAGAUUGCAAGUCCUCUGUACUGGCACCACAUUGGCGGUCUGCUUUUGUAAAUUAUGACCAACAUUAAAGGUUAUCCCCUGAACAGCUGUUCCCUGGCUAUUUCCACAAGGCUGACUCCCGUUGGAAUAAACAAUGAUAUUUUUUUGAACCUGAUCACUGGGAAUAACAACAGAGACCUUUGAGUUUUUAAGAUUUCCUUUCCAGUGGAUUGUAGGGUCAUCAUAUAGGCAUAUGUCAUUUGCUUUCAGUAAUUCAAUAUAUCGGCCAUUUUCUUUUUGAAUUUCUUCCAAUUGUUUACGUAGCUUUUUAAUUUCUUCAGCUACAAUAUUAAAAAUAAAAAUGAAACAAUUACCUGGUAGUGUCAGUACUUACAGUAACUUAAGAAAAAACUGUGUGCUAACUACCAAAGUCUAAUUCUAGCAUUUCGAAAUACCUCAUCUGAGAAUCUUCAGUUCUUUUCUAAUGCAAGUUCUUUCUCCUUUUUACAUUGGUGUAACAAGCCUCUAUCCUAUCCUUUUAAAAAUAAAUAUCUUUAAAAGUAAGGUCAGAAAUUACCCAUAAUGUAGAAAUCUCAAAAUUCCCAAUUCAAAAAUUCCCAAUGGGGCAGCUACCAAGGUGAAAGAAGGGAAGGCACACUGAUAUCAUGGUCACAUGCUAGGAAAAUAACACUGAAUAUCAAUAUAAUAGCAUUUACAUGCUAUAACAGCUAACAUUACUUGUGGUGGUAAUAGUCAGUCUCUUUUAUAAAUGGCUUUAAACUCACUUCUAUUUUACUCUUUGAAAUGCCAGAGACAGUGAAACAGGUUGAAGGUAAAGUAGUAAGCACCAAAGAAAGCAUCAAUAACGGAACUUCAAUCUCCCUUGACAGGGCCAAUGGACAUAUGCGACUGUCACAGCCCUACUCUUUUCUAAGGGAGAGAACUUCAUCCAUGGAUGCUACUACUGGGGCAGCCUUCGCUGUUGGUAUUUAUGCUCUGUGACCCCAGACAUCCCACCUGUCUUGCCACAAUGGUAGAUCUCUCCCCUCCCCAUCCACCAAAGGCAGCCAAUCUUCAAAGCCAAUGCCCUGUGAAGUGGCCUGAAAUAAAAAGUUCUGUUCUGAAAAGGAUGAGCUGAGACUAAUGGAUUCUUUUUCUCAGACAUUUAAAAUAAGAGACACAGAAGAAUGAUGCCAAUGUGCCAUGGGCAUCAGAAGUUAAGGGACAAUUUUUAUGGACCAAAUAAUAAUGAUUGUCCUCACUUAUUACACACUUACUACAUGCCUGGCACUUUUCAUUCAUUGUCUCAUUUCAUAAUAAUAAUAACAAUGAUGAUGGUAAUUACUAUAUGCCAACUUUACUCAAAGUACUUUACCUGCAUUAUUUCUUUUAAUCCUCAUAACAACCAUGAGAUGGGAACUACCUACUCUCAUCAGUAUUUUAAGAUGUGAGAAACAGACUCAGAGUAAUUACAUAAAUUUGUUUAAAGUCAACCAGACACGUGCUGUGAUUAUCUUCAUUUUAAGAUGGGGAAACUGAGAUCGGAGAGGUGAAGUAAAUAGCCACAGGUACUGAGUGCGUAAGUGAAGAUGAAACUCAACCCAGGUGGGCCUGAUUCCCAAGGCCGCUGGGAAUCAGGCUCAGACUAUGGCCCAGCCUGUCUUAUGGACAGAGGAUAUGUGGGAAGUUUCUGGGAGGAGAAAAGAGAAGAGAGUAGAUGCACAAAAAAGAGCCAAAGAAAGGAUGGUGACAGAGAUGACAAUGUAGUGAGACUUAAGCUGCCUCAGGUGCUGCCCCAAGCCCUGGCCUACCUGUUCAGCCUUUCCUGAGCCCUAUGCAACUUAUAUUUUUCCAAAACAUUCCCUUUUCCCUAAUGUAACUCAACUGCCUCAGCCUCUGGGGUGUGAAACCAAAGAAGCUCUACUUAGAAAAGUCUACACAUCAUUCCAGUCUUAAUAUCUCUUCUAUGGGAUGCCUCAGAGUGCUUACCAAACAUGUAUGACGAAUCUAACUACCUAACAGCAUCAUAAAACAGGGCCUGGACUGUAAAAGACAGCUGACAUGGGGGAGGGGGUAAGCUGUCAUCUAACUUAAGGCAAGCAAAGAGAAUUCAGAAUGCUGACCUUCUGGAUAUACAAUAAAAGUAGCCCAACACUGCCCCCACCUCAGCAAAUUCUACCUUUGUUCCUCUCCUUUUAAGGUGACCUACUGAGUUGUCCCAGGAAAUUCUUUCUCUGUUUUUGUCAGAGCCAUAAAUAAAGGACAAUUCAAACUGCCUACCAUUCUGAGCUUUUCACUUGCCUGGCAUUUUUCUUUUCAGCUCUUACAAGGAAAUCUCUCUAGUGCAAAUGGAAAAACAGAACUUAUAUAGCAUAAAAAUGUCACUUCUAAUUAAAAAUCAAAUUUCAGUAUACCUGAAACUAAUAUAACAUUAUGUAUUAACUGCACUAGAAUUAAAAUAAAAACUUAUUUUUUAACGUAAUUAUCUAAAGAAUAAUAAUAAAAAUCAAAUUUCAUUAAAUGAUCAGGCAGUCUGAUACACACAUUACAUGCAGUAUAAACAAUUAUGAACGGAAUGUUUUGACCUUUUGAGUUAAGUCACAGUUAAAUCUUGGCCCAGGCAGGUCUUUGUUUUGUUUUUAAGUUACACUGAGCAGGACUCUCCCCUAUAUCCUCUCACGGGAUUCCCCUAGCUGGAAGAUCCAAGUGGAAUAAAAGCGACCCAGCAUUAUUUGUCUCAUGAGCUCAGCAAAUAUGAAGUGCACGGAAGAGUCCAAAAUCAAAAUUAUGUAUGCCUGCAAGAUUAGAGUUGCUCACAGAAGAGGGAAAAGAGGUAAACUAAGAUGAAUUUAUUUGCAACACUAUUCUCUGGCCCACCGAAUGCAUGGACAAUCUUAACAAUGUUUCUGGUCAAAAAAAGUCUCUGUAUCCUCAUAUAAGUUGCCCUGUGACACGAAGACCUGAACACUGAAAAAACAACAAAAAUGAAGAAUCUUCAAAUCUUUACCUUGUUCAUUGUUUCCUCCAUUAAGCAGGAGUUCAUCAUUUUGCCUUUUCAGUUCUGUUAUAUAUUUAAAGGCUUGGUCCAGGAUCAUAUUCUUGCUCUGCCAAAGAGAAUUAACCACUUAAAAGUUUCACUGAAGAGUAAGAACUUGCCAGAAGAAACUUAAAGCUUUGGUUUUAUCACAUAUAUGUGAUAUGUGUCUUUUCAAAAUUUAAAAUGAACACCAUAUUCAAAUGCUUCUGCUGUUCAUUUUUCAUUUACUAAGUAUUUAAAUUUGAACAGCCACUAUGCGUCAGGCUCUGUUCUAGGCACUGGGGAUGUAAUAAACAAAACGGAGAAAAUUCCUGACCUUCAGGAGUAUUUUCCAUACAUACAGUUGGGUAGAGCUAAGUGCUAGGAAGAGAAAAUAAAACAGAGUAAAUAGGGGCCCAGAGAGAUGGCAAAGGUCACUCUGUCCUAUGAACUGAAUGUUUGUGUCCCCCUAUAAUUCAUGUUGAAACCCUGAUCCCUGAUAUGAUGGUAGUUGGAGGUGGGCCUCUGGGAGGUAAUUAGGUCAUGAGCGUGUAUCCCUCAUGAAUGACAUCAGUGCCCUUAGAAGAAAAGACAUGAGAGAGGUGACUGCACUCCCUGUCACACAAGGACAUAAUCAGGAAGAGCAGACACCAGGAACCAAACCAGCUGGCACCUCUAUCUUGGACUUCCCAGCCUCCAGAACCAUGAGAAAUAAAUUUCUGUUGUUUAAAUCACUCAGUCUAUAGUAUUUUUCUUAUAGGAGCCCAAACUAAGGCACUGUAUUGUAAUCUAUCUUGCAUGGGAAGGCUGGAGAAGGCCUCUCUGUGAGGCAAAGCAAAAACCUGAAGGAAGUAAACCCCGUGGAUAUCUGGAGGAAGAGGGUCCAGGUAGCAGGAUCUGCAAGGACAAGGCCCUUAGGCAGGGCUGUGUUGGCACACUGGAGGGGCCCUGGUGAGGUGAGCAGAACUAAAGUAUAUAGGGGAAGAGUGGGAGGAGAAGAGGCUGGAGAGGGCCUUCAAGGCCCUGUAAGGAUUCUAGACUUUAAUAUUGUUUGUAUCCUAUGAACAAUUGUUAA